AUACGGAGGGUGCAAGCGUUACUCGGAAUCACUGGGCGUAGAGCGCGCGCAGGCGGCUAUUUAAGUUGGAUGUGAAAGCCUACGGCUCAACCGUAGAACUGCAUCCAAAACUAUUUAGCUAGAGUGUGGGAGAGGAAGAUGGAAUUAGUUGUGUAGGGGUAAAAUCCGUAGAGAUAACUAGGAAUACCAAAAGCGAAGGCAAUCUUCUGGAACACUACUGACGCUGAGGCGUGAAAGCGUGGGGAGCAAACAGGAUUAGAAACCCUAGUAGUCC
rnacentral:rRNA from 1 species